GUCAGAGUUAGUCACUACUGACACGUCUGUCAGCCAAUCAAAACGUUACACACGGUCUUUUUCAACCAAUCACAGAACGGAAGAGCACACGU